GAUGAACGCUGGCGGCGUGCCUAAUACAUGCAAGUCGAGCGAACAGACGAGGAGCUUGCUCCUCUGACGUUAGCGACGGACGGGUAAGUAACACGUGGAUAACCUAGCUAUACGACUGGGGUAACUUCGGGAAAGCGGAGCUAAUACCGGAUAAUAUAUUGAACAGCAUGGUUCAAUAGUGAAAGACGGUUUUGCUGUCCCUUAUAGAUGGAUCCGCGCCGCAUUAGCUAGUUGGUAAGGUAACGGCUUACCAAGGCAACGAUGCGUAGCCGACCUGAGAGGGGGAGCGGCCACGCUGGAGCGGAGACACGGACCGGACUCCAACGGGAGGCAGCAGUAGGGAAUCUUCCGCAAGGGGCGAAAGCCGGACGGUGCAACGCCGCGUGAGGGAUGAAGGUCUUCGGAUCGUAAAACGCUGUUGUUAGGGAAGAACAAAUGUGUAAGUAACUAUGCUCUUCUUGAGGUUACCUAAUCAGAAAGCCACGGCUAACUACUU
rnacentral:rRNA from 1 species